rnacentral:rRNA from 1 species
AUUGAACGCUGGCGGCAUGCUUUACACAUGCAAGUCGAACGGUAACAGGCCGCAAGGUGCUGACGAGUGGCGAACGGGUGAGUAAUGCAUCGGAACGUGCCCAGUCGUGGGGGAUAACGCAGCGAAAGCUGCGCUAAUACCGCAUACGAUCUAUGGAUGAAAGCGGGGGACCGUAAGGCCUCGCGCGAUUGGAGCGGCCGAUGUCAGAUUAGGUAGUUGGUGAGGUAAAGGCUCACCAAGCCAACGAUCUGUAGCUGGUCUGAGAGGACGACCAGCCACACCGGGACUGAGACACGGCCCAGACUCCUACGGGAGGCAGCAGUGGGGAAUUUUGGACAAUGGGCGCAAGCCUGAUCCAGCAAUGCCGCGUGCAGGAAGAAGGCCUUCGGGUUGUAAGCUGCUUUUGUACGGAACGAAACGGCUCUCACUAAUACUGGGGGCUAAUGACGGUACCGUAAGAAUAAGCACCGGCUAACUACGUGCCAGCAGCCGCCGUAACAC